UAAUAAUAAUAAUAAAUAUAGCCGCAAGCGGCGAUUUACGGGGUUCGAGCGUUACAGGCAAAGAGGCCCCUGGAGGCCAGUUAGGCUUAAAACAUGUUGCUUAUUGACCGGCAUCACCAAACUGGAUGAGGAUGACCAGCAUGACCAUAAAGACCAAGCUAGAUUACCAGCAUGACUAAUCUGGAUGACAAAUUUGUUGACCAUAUUGACCAAGAUGGAAGACCAUAAUGACCAAACUGGAUGACCAGCAUGGCAAAGGUGGUUGGCCAGUAUGACCAAGCUGAAUGACCAACAUUGCUAUGAAUACAAAGCUGAAUGACCAGCAGGACCAUAAUGACCAAUGUGAAUGAACAGAAUGACCUAGCUGGAUGAGCAGCAUAACCAAGCUAGGUGGCCAGCCUGACCACAAAGACAGUAAUGACAAUGCCAGAUAAGUGGUGUGAGUAAACUA